rnacentral:pre_miRNA from 8 species
UUCAUUCCUUCAGUGUUGAAACAAUCUCUACUGAACCAGCUUCAAACAAAUUCACUGGAGUUUGUUUCAAUAUUGCAAGAAUGAUAAGAUGGAAGC